AGAGCGAACGCUGGCGGCAGGCCUAACACAUGCAAGUCGAACGGACCCUUCGGGGUUAGUGGCGGACGGGUGAGUAACACGUGGGAACGUGCCUUUAGGUUCGGAAUAGCUCCUGGAAACGGGUGGUAAUGCCGAAUGUGCCCUUCGGGGGAAAGAUUUAUCGCCUUUAGAGCGGCCCGCGUCUGAUUAGCUUGUUGGUGGGGUAAUGGCCCACCAAGGCUACGAUCAGUAGCUGGUCUGAGAGGAUGACCAGCCAUAUUGGGACUGAGACACGGCCCAAACUCCUACGGGAGGCAGCAGUGGGGAAUCUUGCGCAACGGGCGAAAGCCUGACGCAGCCAUGCCGUGUGUAUGAUGAAGGUCUUAGGAUUGUAAAAUACUUUCAACCGGUUGAAGAUAAUGACUGUAGCCGGAGAAGAAGCCCCGGAUAACUUCGUGCCAGCAGCCGC
rnacentral:rRNA from 1 species